rnacentral:lncRNA from 11 species
GUUCUACUUGCUUCUCCUGUGCUUGCCUAAGGAAUCAAACCAGUAGCAAAGCACCUCUGUAGGAGAGUUUAUGUAGGAGAGUUUAUUUUCCAGAUCUAGCAUAUUACAUCAAAGGAUCCUGAUCUGUGGCCACAGAACGAUCUACUGGGAGAAGUGUUGUGUACUCUUGAGGAGAAUGUAGAACAGGAGACUGAAGAUGUAGGAGUGGGGGAUUUGGGGCCAAGUCUUGAUAAAGAAGAAAAGAAUAAAGAAAAUUUACUUCCGGUUCCUACAUUCCAGGAAUGAUGAAGGGCAAAAGAAGAAAGAAGAAGGUCAGCUAGGUUGGCUGCAAGGAAGUUGAGCAAUCAGACCUUGUCCUAGGAACACCUAUGCUGGGAACUGUGGGCUAUAAAACAGCAGUAAAACUAGUGAUCAAUGCUGGAGGUAAGCAUUCUACUUCAUGCUUCUGUGUUCUGGUUUCUUUGGCUAAAGCUCCAGCGUCUGCCAAGUUCGUCACAAAAACUUUUGCCAAAGACUCUUGUUUCAUGUCUGAGAUAAUACUUUCAGCUUUGCUUUUGAAAAUACAUUCUGUUUCCUUGCUGCUAUUUAUUACAUUAAUAUUAUUUUGCUGGUGUAAAGCGUUCUUUAUUUACUUUAAUCCUUGUUGUAAAAUUGUUUCUGGGGCAAAACAGGACACACAGUUGGCUCUCAGCUGGACCUGGCUGAGUUUAUCAUUGUUGAAUGGCUGGACAAACGUGGGCUAUGUUGAAAUGCAUUGUUGCCACUUAUUUUUCAAGGAUGCAAGAGACCACUCCCAGAUAUCCUUCUUGUUUAUCUGGGUGGCAAUGAUCUGAGAUUAUUGAAGGGAAAGGUGCUGAGUCUCCAAGAGCAGUAUGAUUUAUUAUAUCGAAAAGAGGUGGCCUGGGGUUUACAUCAUGUGGUUAGCUUUGCUGCCACGUUUGGUGUGGAGAAGCAAAAGUGACUCUUGUGCGCUAGACAGAGCUACAUGGAAAGUAAAUAGGGAACUGAGAAAAGAUGUGGAAAAGUUAUAGGGCCAGUACCUUCCCUAUCCAGAUAUUGUUUUUCAAAAGCCAGAGCUUUACAGGUCAGAUGGUAUACAUUUGUCUGUGGAAGGGAAUAACAUACUCCUAAAAGAUUUUAAAAGGGGUUUAGAGGAUUAGUUGAAAAGUUUGAUGGGUGAAAAACAUUAGGUGGAUGCCUGAGUCUUUCUGUGGCAAGAAGUUGGGGAAGAACAUGGAUCAGUUUGCACCUUGACACUCCCUUUUGAGGUGAAUGGGGAUUUUUUGGGAUGGCCUCUAACGUUUUGGGGCUUAAGGGGUUACCCAAAAUAUCCCCUUUGGGGCUUACCUUGGGGACUUACCCCUCUCUUAUUGGGUUCUGGGGGUCAGAAGGGAGGACCCCUGAGAUGGCCUUCCAGUAAUGACCAGCUGGGAUAGCAAGCCAUCUCUGUGGAGUGCCCCCGGGGUUAGGUGCAUCGCUCAGAGGUUGGCUUGGCAGGUAGUCAGAGAAUGAUGGCCUUACACCAUUGCCCAUGUCUCAGUGCUCCCCCCACAAAAGUUACUUAGUUACAUUUACCAGUUUUAAAUAGGUCAAUAAAUGGCCCUUUAUUUCUCC